rnacentral:rRNA from 1 species
UCUCCUGGAAAACGGGUGGUAAUGCCGGAUGCUCCGACUCCUCGCAUGGGGUGUCGGGAAAGAUUUCAUCGGUAUGGGAUGGGGUCGCGUCCUAUCAGGUAGUCGGCGGGGUAACGGCCCACCGAGCCUACGACGGGUAGCCGGCCUGAGAGGGCGACCGGCCACAUUGGGACUGAGAUACGGCCCAGACUCCUACGGGAGGCAGCAGUGGGGAAUAUUGCACAAUGGGCGCAAGCCUGAUGCAGCGACGCCGCGUGCGGGAUGACGGCCUUCGGGUUGUAAACCGCUUUUGAUCGGGAGCAAGCCUUCGGGUGAGUGUACCUUUCGAAUAAGCACCGGCUAACUACGUGCCAGCAGCCGCGGUAAUACGUAGGGUGCAAGCGUUAUCCGGAAUUAUUGGGCGUAAAGGGCUCGUAGGCGGUUCGUCGCGUCCGGUGUGAAAGUCCAUCGCUUAACGGUGGAUCUGCGCCGGGUACGGGCGGGCUGGAGUGCGGUAGGGGAGACUGGAAUUCCCGGUGUAACGGUGGAAUGUGUAGAUAUCGGAAAAGAACACCAAA